GAAGGCUUUAGCUUAAUUAAAGUGUCUGAGUUGCAAUCAGGUGAUGUAGUCGUGAUUACAGGUCUUCA
rnacentral:tRNA from 1 species